rnacentral:lncRNA from 1 species
AAAAAGAAAACCAAUCAAGUUCAAGGAUUUUCUUCUGUAAGGCCAGUCAGAAAAGAGAAAGGAGCAGAAGUUUUGUGAUAAUGGUGACAAGAAGAAUAGGUGAGAAUUAUGUGAAUUGGCUGAGGAUCCUUAAGACCCAUGAUUCUAGCACAAGGAUGGAAAAUACAGGAUUUGCACACUCCCUCCAGUUACUUAGUAGCAUGCCACACACUGUAGGUGCCCAAUAAAUAUUUGUUAAAUGUUAAAAAAUGCUAAAUUUGCCUUCAUAAGGGUCAAGUGUUCAGUGCCUAGCAGCAGGAUGGGCAGCCCAAUGGUCAUCUUUCCAGUUGAGUUCUGACCCCCUGCUUGUUCUAGGUGAGAAUGUGCUAUUAUUCAGAAUAUGGACCACAGGACCUGGUGAGUUUCUCAGUAUGUCAAGAACCUUGCAUAUUAGUUAUGCAUAGUAAGGACUUGUAUUUACCUAUCACUUAAAUCUUCCUCUGUCAUGCUAUAGAACUAGAAAAAAAUGCACAUCUUCCGCCUGAUUCUCAGUUCCCACUGGGCUGAGAUCAGAGAGAAAAGAAAUAACAGUGUGAGGAUUGAUGCUUAAGACAGAAAUCAGAAUGGAGGGAGAGGAGGAUAAACCAGUUCCUCCUGGUUUAAAGAUUUUUUUAACAUGUAAUUUCAUUCUUACCUGCAGGCAGUUUUCUGAAGGUGAACAUUUAACUUCUAGGAUAAAUAUGAAAUUUGAAACCACAGAUCUGUACUGAAGCUACUGGCACUGUGGCAUAAAUUAAAUAAGGGGGAAAUGAAGAAUGAUUUGUUUUUCUCCUGGAAUAGGACCCCAGUACUCCUCCAAGGUUGUUAAAAGAUUGAGAAAUCUGUGGUACAAAUACUUUAAUUAACUGACAGCAUGUGGGAUGAAUUACAUUUGAUCUCAGUUCAAGAUUCUUGUACAAUAAUGGAUUUAAUUGUUUCAUUUUUUACAGCAUAACGGAUGGAUGAAGGAGGGUGAUUACUUAAGAGAAUGUGUUCAUUUAAAGUAGUGAUUACAAUAUUGUUCUGAAAAGUAGAAUAUAACAUGAAGAAGCUUGCAGAGAAAGUUUAUAGGUGUCCUGAGCCUCUGUGGAUUCUUGCUUCCUUUGCCCUGCUGGUUGUGAGGCUGACAUCUCACCAUCCAACCACUUUAUAACUUUUAGCCCUCAUGGUCUUUUACCAGCAACAAUGGCAAAAGCCUCUUAAUGGCAAUAGCCUCUUAACUGGUCUCUCUGCCUUGGGUUUUAUCUUUUUCUUUCUUCUGUUUUCUACUCUACAGCCAGAGUGUUCUACCAGUAAUGAUCAUAUGAUGGUGCUCUUCCCUAUUUGAAAACCUUUUGAUACUGCCUACAAGAUAAACUACAAGAUUAUUAACAUGGGUUUGAAAUGCUUUGGCUUGUUCUCAGCCCCAUCCUCCUUUACUCUGUGUCUCGCACAUUAUGCUUCAGUAGCACCUGACUAAUGAAAAGUCCUUGAUGAAAUAACUUUUGCUCUCUCUGAAUGUCUGCUUCUGCCAUCUCAUCUCCAAGGAAUAUUCUUUUCCUUUCCCUUGCUCUCCCUUCCCCAAUUUUUGUAUUCAUCCUUUAAGAAAACUCAGUCAUUACCUUCUCCCACCUUCCUCCUAUUUACAUGAGCUGCCCUUCAUUGAUACCUCCCUAUGAUCCUGUAAGUAGUCUAUAAAAACAUUUUUCCCACUUGAUUAAAAGUGUUUAUGAAAAAUUCCCCAUUGGAUGGUGAGUUCAUCAAUAAGAACACCAUAAGAAUAGGUCCCAUAUUCACUUUUGUAUCCUUAGCCUGUAGCACAGGACAGAACAGGUGCUCAUUAAAAGCUCAUUCAGUGAAUGAGUAAAUUGAAAUAGGUUUUCUUCUAUUGGUUCAACAAUACUAUAGUAAAAGUAAUGUUUUAACAAAUAGUCAAGUGAGGCAGGUAUAAAUAAAUCACAUACACAUACGUGACUAACAUAUGUGGAGUGAAAUGCCAAAAGAAAUUAAAUUACUGAGGAAAGAGACUUGGACACAUAUGCUAUCCAAUAUAAUUGCAUGUUUUUAACAUUUCACUUAAUUGUAGCUAUCACCCCAAAGGCCUCUUUGGCCUUCAUGUAUUAUGGUUUAGAGAACUACUUAUCUAUUCGCAUUUAAAGAGGAUGAAGUUGCCUUGCACAAACAAGUCUGCCUCUAGCUCUGGGCUUCUCAAACACCAUUUAUGCAUCUAUAUCUUGGCUAUUAUAAAUAAUGAUGCUAUGAACAUUGGGGUGCACAUAUCUUUUAAAAUUAGCAUUGGAUGGACCUAGAGGGCAUUAUGCUUAGUAAAAUAAGUCAGAAAAAGACAAAUACUGUAUGUGGUCACUUGUAUGUGGAAUCUAAAAAAUAAAACUGACUAGCAAGUAUAACAAAAGAAGCAGACUCACAAAUAUAGAGAACAAAGUAGUGGUUACCAGUGGGGAGAAGGAAGCAUGGGCAAGACAGAGGUAGGGGAUUAACAGAUACAAACUAAUAAGUAUAAAAUAAAUAAACUAUAGGAGUAUAUUGUAAAGCUCAGGGAAUAUAGCCAAUAUUUUAUAAUAACUGUAAGUGGAGUCUCUUCUAUUAAAAUAUUGAAUCACUAUUGUAAACCUGAAACUAAUAUGAUAUUGUAAGUAAACUAUACUUCAAUUAAAAAAAACCCACCAUUAUGCAUAGAUCCUAUUAAAAUGAUGAUCCUGAUUCAGUAGUUCUGGAAUGGUAUUUGAGACUUUGUGAAUUUAACUAACUCCCAAAUAAUACUAAUGCUAUUGGCACUUGGCCCUCAUUUUGUGUGGCUAGGAUAGAGAACACCUUAACUCCACAGAGUAAAAUUAUUUGCAGGGAAUUGAAGUCGAAAUAUUUUAUUGUUGAGCUCAUAGCUAACUUGAGAGUUUUUGCCACCUUGUGUUAAUAUCUAAGUGAAUUUUAGCUGAUGUUUUUGACCAUAGUUUGAUGAAGUAUUUUUCAUGAUCAAAUUGAAUUCUGAAUAUUGUUUUUCAUAAUAACCUAAAUUUUCAUUUAUUUUUAUUGUUUUUAUGUUACAUUAUUUUGUACUAGCUAAUUUUUUGAUUCUAAGCCCAGGAUUCUGACCUGUGAGUCACAUAGGAAGCUUCUCUACAUUUGCAAACCAUUUAGAUGAGUCAAGACAAUUGCGUUUGGGAAAAGAUCCUGCUCAAUAUAGAAACUUGGAAGGAAAUGACCAAAAUAUGAUAAUAUUCAAGAUUAUAAGUAAAGGAAAGGUUAUAUUGAGGAAAUAUAAACCAGAUCCAGAUUGAUCAAAAAAUUAUUGGAAAAUAAGUCUAAGAGCCAAAUAGUAUCCAAGUGCUUUAAGAUAAAAAUACUCAAAAGUAUAUAUGUGAGGAGAAAAGACAAGAAAAAGAAUGAGAAACAAAUUAGCCUCAAAUUUUAUAGAGUUUAAAACCAAAGAAAAUAACCUUGUAAAAUAGAUAUGCCACAACCAUCAGGCACAGAGGCCUUUCUAAGUACAUUAUCUAUCUUAGAUCACUUAAUUCUUUCAAAUACCCCAUGGGGUAGGUCCUUUUAUUAAGGCCAGAUGACUAGAAAGGAAUGAAAUUACAGUGCUAUUUAAGAAGUGCUUAGGAAUUAAACAGUGAAAUAACCUACUUUUUUAAUAGUCCUUUCUGGGAUUCUGUAAUAAAAAUAAGAAUUACUCAUUUCAUUAACAUUGAAUGGGCAAGUAAUAAGAAUUAACAUGUGUAAAUAUAUUACAUGUAUUAUUUAAUUUUAAUAACAAGCCUAUGAGUUAGGAGUUACUAUUGUCUUCAUUUUACUGAUGAAGGAAUUGAGAUUUAGUGAGGUUGUGUAACUGUCCAAAAUCAUCCAGUUGGUUAAGAAAGAGAACCAGGUCAGUUUUCUUGGCAGCAGUGUGUUUCUGGUUUUGUGUGUUUUUUUUUAAAAAGUCUAUUUUUCUCUUGCACCUCCUGAUGAACAACUUUCUCUAGGUAAAUACCUAUAAGUGAUACUGUUAGAGCAAGGAAAAACACAUGUUAAACUCCGUUAUGAAAUGCCAAUCCACAUUUCACAUAAACUACAAUUUACACUCAUUUCAAAAGCAAAGCAGGGUUCUGCAUUCCUGCCAAUACCUGAUACAUUCUAACAGUUACAUUUUUGAUAAUUUUGCAGUUUUGCAGUUUUACUUGUCUUUCCUCUGCUUAAUAAUGAGAUUGAAUAUUGUCAAAUGUUUAUGGAUUUUUAAUCUAUCAUCUAUGAAGUUCCUGCUCAUUGAUUUUUCCCCCUCAUUUUUUUCUACUGUGUUUUCUUUUUCUUUUUGACUUACACUGUUCACAUAGAUUACACACUAAUUAUUUAUUGUUUAAAUAUGUUGCAAAUAUCUACAAGUUUGCAGCAUUUUUAUUCAUUAUCUAAAUUGUCUCUUCUAGCAAAGAGAAUUUGUUGAUUUUUUGUGGUUUGUGUUUUUUGUAUCUUUUAAAAGAAAUCUGUCUCUACUAAAGGUCUUACAAAUACAAGAUUUUCUUCUAAAAGUUUUAUAGUUUUCUUUUCACAUUUAAGCCUUUAAUUGUCCUGAAUCUGUUUUUUUGUGUGGAUGUGAGGUAGGGAUCUGUGACAUAUGUAAUCAGAGCCCACCCUUAUUCCUUAACCCAAAUCAGAGCUCACCUAGAGCUUCAGUGAAGAAGAAUCCUACACUUGGCUUCCUAUCUCAGGCAUCUGCCUAUCAGGAAGAGCUUCAUGGGGACAGAUUUCUUUAAGUACCAGCUGCUCUGGUAGCUGAAGCAGGCUUGGCACAUAGAUAGGAAUGGCUGAAAGAGAGAGAGGUUCAAUGCCCCAAGAAUGUUCAUGAGAAAAUAAGGGGACAAAAUAAAUAGAAAAGUAACUUCCCCACCCCUAAAUUGGACAAUUGUGAGGUAUGUUUCACACAGUCUCUCAGGGAAUUCACAAUAGGCUUGAACUCUAGUUUCCAACAGUGAUAACCAGUUAUUAAUAUAUACUCAAAUGGUUUUUCCCCCUUCCCUGUUGCAUUGCCCCAUGCACUGACAUUUCCUGAAGUUACUCCCUAAUAAAUAUUUUCUCCAAAUUCUUCAUUCAGGUCUGGUUUUGUCUAUAACCUAAACUGUCCUACAAAGCAGACACUCAGGAUAAGAUCUAAAACUAGCCUAUUUGCUAGUCAUAUAGCAUAGGGUCUCUGUUACUGGUAGUAGGGAGGGUGGUAAUGACCACUGGUAUGCUGCAGCAUCAUAUCUACUAAUACUCUUGCCUAAGAUUUCUUGGAAAGAAGUACAGGUGUAUGAGACCUCGCCUCCGAAGGUUAGUCCCCAGAAAAGGGCCAGGGGACGCCUGGGUGGGGGCUGGGCACUGAGACCUUGGCUCCACAGGUUACUCCCCAGGAAAGGGCUGGGGGACGCCUGGGUGGGGGCUGGGCACCAAGACCUCGGCUCCAGAGGUUAGUCCUCGAGAAAGGGCUGGGGGGGGCGGGGCGGAGUGGAGACUGCUUGGGAGGUCUAGAAACCGGUCUGUCAAGUUGAAUGGGGCAGAGACUGCCAGGGAGACCAGAAAACAAAGCUGUCCCAGAGGAAGGGAGCAAUACUCUAGGGGCGGGGAAGUGGAAAGCCGCAUCAGAGGGAACCUGGGAGAAGAGCCUGGUCUGCGCCCGUGCUGGGGAGGGGAGAGAGGAAGGGGUGGGUCCCCAUAGAACACCCCACAUGCCACAGCAAGUUUACAGGCCCGCUAGCUAGCAGAAAGCUGUGCUUCCCAGUGCAUCCCAUCCCCCCACCCCUGCCACCCCCUAUGCUCUCGCCAGACCUGGGGCUGCCUGCCAUCCGGAAGGGCUGGCCUCAACAACUGCCUGAAGCCUACCACCACAGGGGCUGUCCCUGCACAGGCCUGCUUGCCCUUUGGAGGGGCUACAAUUCCUCAGAGCAGCACCAAACACCACCAGCCCCUGAGAAAAGGCCUGCAGCGCAGAAAAGCUAGAACAAGCCUAGCCAGGCUGUGAAAAGAUCUGCCUAAUUCUCCAAUGGUUUUUCUGAGUCCGGCUGCCCCAAGGAGGAGCCUCUUGGGUUUUCAGCGGCCCUGCUAGCUACCAAAGCCCUCAGGGGGUGCCCUACUCCCGCGGAAUAGCUGCUCAGCACCACCAGCCCCCUGGAGGACAACCUGCAGCCCAGAAAAGCUGCAACAAGCUUGGCCAGACUGUGAAAAGAUCUGCCUACAUUCUCAGGCCGUCCUUCUGAGUUGGGCUGCCCUAGGGAAGAGCCUCUUAGGUUCUCAGUGACCCAGAUAGCUGCUCCACCCCCAGGGGGUGCUGCACUCCUGAGGAACAGCUGCCCAACACUGCCAACCUCCUGCAAGAACGCCAUAGCCUAAAAACACUAGAGCAAGCUCUGCCUGACCGAGUGAAAUCUGCUACCAUCGUGGUGUGGACAUCCCAGUCCUAUCUGCCCACAGGAAGUCCUCCUUUGCUUCAAAGAGACCCUGUUAGCCCCAUCAACACUCCAGAAAAACCACACUGCCUCAAAAAAGACUGACCAACAAUGCCAGCCCUCAGGAAAUAUUCCACGGAAGUGACAAGGCAAACACUGCCCGGUCACGGAGAGUACAACUCCCUCCAGGAGAAAGAAAACAACAAGCAAGAUGAAGAAGCUGAGAAACCACCCCCAGUCAAACCAACAGGAGAACUCACCUAAAACAGUCAACAAUGAAACAGAUCUCUGCAGUCAGACAGACCUGGAGUUCAAAAGAGAAAUAGUGAAAAUACUGAAGGAAUUAAGAGAAGAUAUGAACAGUAAUGCAGAUACCCUCAGAAAGGAACUAGAAAAUAUAAGGAGGAGCCAAGAAAAAUUAGAACAUUCAGUUGCAGAGAUACAAACUGAACUAAGGGCAGUAAAAACCAGAAUGAAUAAUGCAGAAGAAAGAAUCAGUGAUAUGGAAGAUAGAAUAAUGGAAAUCACCCAAUCAGGUCAGCAGACAGAAAACUGAAUAAAAAAACUGGAAAGCAAUAUAAGAGACCUAUGGAAUAAUAUAAAGCGGGCCAAUCUAUGCAUAAUAGGAAUUCCAGGUGUAGAAAAAGAUAAGGGAGUGGAAAAUAUAUUUGAAGAAAUUAUCAAUGGAAACUUCCCAAAUCUAAAGGAUACUGGGUUCAAGAUACAGGAAGCACAGAGGGCCCCAAACAAAUUGAACCCAAACAGACCCACAGCAAGACACAUCAUAAUAAAAAUGGCAAAAGUUAGUGAUAAAGAGAGGAUCCUAAAGGCAGCAAGAGAAAAACAGAAUGUUACCUACAAGGCAACCCCCAUAAGAAUAUCAGCUGAUUUCUCUACAGAAACACUACAGGCCAGGAGGGAAUGGCAAGAGAUAUUUAAAGUGCUAAAAGGAAAAAAUAUGCAACCUAGAAUACUCUAUCCAGCAAGAAUAUCAUUUAAAAUAGAAGGGGAAAUAAAAUUUUUUUCCAACAAACAAAAACUUAAAGAAUACAGCAACACAAAACCCAGGUUAAAAGAAAUACUGAAAGGGCUUCUCUAAACCAAAAAGAAAGGAAGGAAAGGGAAGAAAAAAAGAAAAGAAAAAAAAAAGAAGAAGAAGAGGAAGAACAGGACUAAUGAAACUGCAAUCAGAGAGCAGUCACUGAAAUAAGCCAGCAUACAGAUUUAAUCAUGAACAGGCCUCAAACAAAAUAAAGCUAAAAACAAAAAAUAAAAGAGUCAUCAAAACCAUAAAAUGUGGGCAAGGGAUGUUCGGAAAUAAUAACCCUUUUUGUUUGCUUGUAUGUUUCUCUUCUUAAUUUCAAUAUAGUAAUGAAGUGUUUGAACUUACAGGACCAUCAGGCUAAAACACACAAUUAUGGGAAGGGGUUAGCAUACUUAAAAAAUAGGGCAACCACAAGACAAAAGCAAAUAUUGCAUUUGCAAAAAUGAAAAAAAAAAACCAACAAAACAAUCAAACGGAUAAAAACAGGAGACCAUCCAACCAAAAAAAAAAAAAAA